UAGGGCGGCCGACCCUGUAUCCGGACCCUGACCUGCGAGUAGCGGUGGGGGGUCGGGGCUGUGUGGUGAAAUUGCUGCCGUCUAGUGCGCUCGUGGGUUAAAUUCAUCUCCAGCGUAAUCCCUGGGAUGUGUGAUCUCAAAGUGGGAUUUCUUUCAAGCUGUUCUUGCUGCAAGUGAUGAAGAUGGGCUGUAAAGAGGUGGGCUCAGAAAAGAUGAUGCACACAGGGCUGUUUCAUGGUGCUGCUGGAGUGCUCCCUGGGAUGCAAGCAUGCAGACAUCACAGACAAAUCUAUGUGUGCACCAGUGCCUCCCUGCUGCGCUCCAGCUUCCACGCUCACCUGGGGACGUCCAACCUGUGGGGUCAAAGCUGUUUUCCCUACAUUCUUCCUUUUCACCAUCCUGCUCAUCCUUUGUGUGAUCUUCUGGUACAUCAGUACGAGUGGGAACAACGAAGAUGCCUGAGUGCAGGCAGGCUGGGAGGCUGGACUCAGCACCGAGCCCAGGGCUCACAAGUACUGUGGUGUCCAAGCUGAGUGCAUUCAUGUGCAUGUCUGUGUAGGAACCCUGGGAAAUCACUGCCUGGCCUUGCCGCUGGCGAAUGUCAGUGGUGUUACCACUCAGAGCCCAAUUAAGUGCUUUUCUUCUCUCCUUCUGACUGCUAAGUUUCUUUAGUUUGCUUAUAGCCUGUUCAGAUAGUCUUUUAUUUUGGAUAUUUUAUUUAUAUCUGGGAAGUUCAUAAGUAUCCCUAGGGCUGCUAUGGGGUUUCAGAGCCAAGCAACAGAGAGCAGAGCAGUUGAGAAGUGGCUACUGAAGGAUGUAUGUUCAUUUUUGUCAAGCCCAGUAAAACAAAAAACAAACUGACACGGGGAGCAGACAGCAGGCUAUGGUAUCAGUCACCUCCAUUCAACCCCUUUCAGCUAAAUCUAAUAGCUUAGAAAUGAAAAAUAUUUAUUUUCCUGAUUUGAGCAAUUAGUCAAAAUGCUUCUUCACAAUGCCAUCCAAAUGUUUAUGAUGCUGUGAGAAAGCAGCUAAUAGCUCAUAAUACGUAGAGCAGAGCCGUUAGAGAGAAAACAACAGCAGUACUUUCUACUGUAGAUUAGACAGUCCAUCUUUCCAUCCAAACUUGAUUCAUUUGAGAUUAAUGAUGAUCUGUUUGCCUUUUUUUUUCCUUGCUCAUAGGCAAUAGGGUAUUAGAAGAGACAUCAUUAAUUGUAAUAUCCUACUUUCCUUCCAUUACAUUGUCAGUUGAAGUUGUUACUUUCAGAUAACCUGAAACUCACAUUAUUAGCCAUAAUUAAAUUCCUAUUAAAUUCUUGCCUAAAAUGAGGUGAAGUACUUUUGAAUUUAAAAUAGUAAUUAAUCUAACUGUAAGUUGUGUGCCUGAAUACAAUUUUCUUUCUGUGUUCCAGUGGACUUCUGUGUAAAGGUGGAAAUGUUAUCCAUUAAUAGUUAAUUUUGCAUAGCCACUGGUCUGGACUAGCAGCCUUUCCCUACAACAAGUGUAAAGUUUAUUAAAAUUUGAUCGCGUGUAAGAAGGGCAUGUAAAUAUCAGCUGAGUUAUUCAUGUACAUAUGCAUCCCCUUAUUUGUCCAUUUUCUGCAGUGUUCAAUGUCUGGCAUGAUCAAGCCCAAAAUUAGAGGGCUCUGUAGUUUAGAGGUUCAGUUAAACCCAUCUGCCAGAAGAUUACAGAGAAGGACUUGUCCCACAAGCAUCUGUGACUUCAGAACAACUCCUCUAAGUUUACUUGGAAGUACUGAGAAGGAGGUACCUAUAUUUUCAG